AAGCAAGAAGAAAAGAUGUUGAAGCUGAAAGCUUCAAUUCAGUCAUUGACUUUAGCAAUGCAAACGCUUGAGGACAGUAUCAUUGCUCGGAUUCUUGACGACCUUAAAUCACAAGCGGUCGUUCAUCUCACAGUGUUGGUCUGGAGCACAAUGAUGCUGAUGAUAUGCAGCAUCAUGAACCUGGUGUUCACAUUCACGAUGACAUUCUUGGUGUUGACGGAGAGCAUGUAACUCAUGUCGAUGAUGUCAUCGAUGAAGCUAUGGUAGGGGAUGUCACCCUUCAAUCAAAUGAUGCUGAAGGAGAGCAUGUUCUUCUACCCGAGUCCAUUAUCGACGCAUCUGUUGGAGGGGAAGAGGACCCUGACUCAGUCGUGGCUGAAAAAGAGCAUCUUCCUCGGGCUGAUGCAUUCGUCGAGGCAGCAGCAAGAGCUAUGGUGCUUUAUCAAAGCACUUUUGAUGCAGUUGAGACACAGUCGUCAUCACCAUAGUCAUCUGCUAUCCAUCAUGGUGCAGCAAAAAUUUUAGACCAAACUAAGCGGGCACGAAUGAAACUGACGAGCAAAUACAUGGCAAACCCGUGCGUUGACCCUUUAGUGAGCCGUCGAGAUGUGAAGGAUACAAUCGUAGAAGCCUACGAAGCUUUCAAGAAAGACGAGUCCGCGAGCGUGAUGUCGGCAUUUUAGGAGAUCAAGGGGCUGACUUUUUCAUAACCUUAGAGGAUCCCAAUGAGGAAAUGACAAGUGAACAUAUCGACACAUACCUCAGCGUACUCUACAAGUGGAUGACGGGGCCGAAGUCGAAGUAGUACACUACCCAUGCAUGCGUGGUUGACACGACAUUCUUCGACACCAUCCGUAUGCUACACAUGGAAUUUCCAACAGAAAAUGCCCGGGCCACAAUGUAAAUUCCAAAUGAGUUGCGGGGGUAUGUGGAGGGUGAAAGGCCGAUAUACGAUAAAAAAUGGGAAGAUGUGGAUUUCAUCCUUGCGCCUUGCAACGUUGGUGGGCAUUGGGUGGUUGUGAAGAUCGACUUAGUGAGGUGGACGAUCAAGGUGAUGGACUCCGUAAGAACUUCGGAUGCUAAGGAUAACGGAGUUCGUGCGGCUCAGAUGACACCCUUGACAACAAUGAUGCCAAUCAUCUGCCACCAAGCCGGUUAUUUCAACAGAGUAAGUCGAAAGAGACGGGAUUUGACGUCGAUGCCAUUGGAUAUUCAUUUGCCAAAAGCUAAAGUGUAUCGACAGAAUGAUAGUGUCAGCUGCGGUAUGUUCAUGAUAGGGUACAUGGACAAUAUUUUGCAAUUGGACUAGAUCAAAGUUAAGCAGAAUAUGAUUACAAAAAUGCGUCGGCAAUACGCUCUAGAAUUUUUUUCCAACAAUUGUGAGAGCAAACCCUGAACAUAUCGACCCUUGUCUGUACAUAUUUUUUGUAUACAGAAUUAUUUUUA